UAAGUCAGAAAUAAGUCGGGCUAACAUUUUUACAGACGCCGAAGGUUAAAGAGAAGAGCAGCGAAUGGAUCUGCUUGGAGGGAAAACCGGAAUCCAGACUCUCUUCAAGGGAAAAUUCCCCUUUUCUCUGUUUCCCAUUGGCUGGCUUAUAACUCAAAAAGACUUUAUUGUGAAAGGCCGCGAGUCUUGCUCAUGCUGCGGCUCAAAGCAGAAAAGAAGGGGCGUUGUGCCUGUGAUUCAACAUGGUGUCACAAAGCCGUCCAAUGUCUCAUCUCUUGACAGUAUUUUAUACUCAAACAUGUGGGAAAGAGAUCCUCUGUCA